rnacentral:lncRNA from 10 species
GUGAUGCAUGGUUGCAAAGCUGCAGCUCAGGGAAGAGCCCCUCCAAGGUCACUGAGUUGAGAAUCGAGAACCUGAGUCUGCUCCACUGGGGCUAACGAGCCAUGUAAGCGGGACCAUCUCCCUUUGCUGCACGGGGGCCACCUGCUGCCUCCUCUGUGAAACGGGAGAGCAUACCACCUGCCCUGGAGAGCUGUCCUCGAGAUGAGAUAAAAGCAUGGAUAUAAAAGGGUCUGGAAAUUUGGAGGUCUUUGCUUGUAUGAAUAUGUGUCCUUAUUAUCGCCAUGUGACGGGCUGGAACAUAGAACUAAUAAAGAAGCCAAAAAAAAAGAAAA